CCUACGGGGGGCUGCAGUGGGGAAUCUUGGACAAUGGGCGCAAGCCUGAUCCAGCCAUGCCGCGUGAGUGAUGAAGGCCCUAGGGUUGUAAAACUCUUUCGUGGGGGACGAUAAUGACGGUACCCCAAGAAGAAGCUCCGGCUAACUUCGUGCCAGCAGCCGCGGUAAUACGAAGGGGGCUAGCGUUGUUCGGAUUUACUGGGCGUAAAGCGCGUGUAGGCGGACUGGAAAGUUGGGGGUGAAAUCCCGAGGCUCAACCUCGGAACUGCCUCCAAAACUUCCAGUCUGGACUCAAGCAGAGGCAAGUGGAAUUGCGAGUGUAGAGGUGAAAUUCGUAGAUAUUCGCAGGAACACCAGUGGCGAAGGCGACUUGCUGGGCUUGUAGUGACGCUGAGACGCGAAAGCGUGGGGAGCAAACAGGAUUAGAUACCCCAGUAGUC
rnacentral:rRNA from 1 species